rnacentral:rRNA from 1 species
UGUGAACUGCAGGACACUUGAACCUCGACAUUUUGAACGCAAAUGGCGGCCCUCG